rnacentral:tRNA from 1 species
GCAUUGGUGGUUCAGUGGUCGAAUUCUCACCUUCCACGCAGGAGACCCAGGUGUGAUUCCAGGCCAGUGUA